AGAGCGAACGCUGGCGGCAGGCCUAACACAUGCAAGUCGAGCGCCGUAGCAAUACGGAGCGGCAGACGGGAGAGUAACACGUGGGAACGUACCCUUUGGUUCGGAACAACCCAGGGAAACUUGGGCUAAUACCGAAUAAGCCCUUACGGGGAAAGAUUUAUCGCCGAAGGAUCGGCCCGCGUCUGAUUAGCUAGUUGGUGGGGUAACGGCCCACCAAGGCGACGAUCAGUAGCUGGUCUGAGAGGAUGAUCAGCCUCAUUGGGACUGAGACACGGCCCAAACUCCUACGGGAGGCAGCAGUGGGGAAUAUUGGACAAUGGGCGCAAGCCUGAUCCAGCCAUGCCGCGUGGAUGAUGAAGGCCUUAGGGUUGUAAAGUCCGUUUUAACGGGGAAGAUAAUGACGGUACCCGUAGAAUAAGCCCGGCUAACUUCGUGCCAGCAGCCGC
rnacentral:rRNA from 1 species